rnacentral:lncRNA from 1 species
CACGAUGAUUGCGCCGAAGAAACGCCUAAUAGGACGACCAUAGUUGUCUGCGACGGAAUUUGUUAAUCUCGCAGGUUUCUAAAGCGAAGUGAGUUAAGUUUGGUGCAACGAGUUUUGUGCUCUUUCAGGUUGAGGGCGAUUAUGGCUUCUUUGGGAAUCAUCGGUGGAUAGUUUUGCAAUUGAGAAUCGUGCUGUGUAUCGGUUAAGAGGAUACGAAUUCGAACGUAAUGUUUACUCCUCGAUACAAUUACCUAGCUUACACGACUUGAUAAAAAAUACUAUGUAAAAAGUAUUGCCAGAGGAACUCAAACCGCGAAGGUUGAACAGAAGGUUGUUUUGAAAGAAACUCGAAGCUCGGUAUGUUGAUGUUGAUUGUGGUAGAUACAGCGACCCGAAAAAUUGAUCGCGCGUACUCGGAUUUUAAACGAAGUUAUCCCUACAACGAGACAAACUAACAAGGAUAGGACUCGAACACUCGAAUUAUCGAUCGUAUCAUUUAUCGCAGCUUUCGCGUCAGGCUGAACUAAAAAUGAGAAAUGUAAACGGCCCCGAAACUGAAGGGAAACCUGAUACGCAGCAGACUAAAUCACCGUCAUUUUUCCAACAGCACCUGUUGACUUAUACAGGAAAGGGAAGGAGCACCGAUGAUCAAUCUGCACGAACUCUGCUCUUGAUAAGGGUGUUAACUAGCGAUAAGACUGCUAGAGGUUGCUCGUAGAAAGUCUCGCGAAAACAAGUUGAUCGAGUGCAUAAUUCGACAUUAAUCGAGCUCGACGGAUAAAGUACAGGUAAAGUGUACGAUGAUGCAACAAAAGUUUGAUUGGUAAAUGAUGCAAGAGCGAGAAGAAUGAGUAUGAGAAGUACCUGAAAACGCCGAAACUUAACCAUCGCUAAUUAUGAGCACGAAAAGAUUUUAAUGGAGGAUGGACUGAACGACAAUUUCAUAAACUAGACAAAUUCCUAGACUAAAUUCUAAAUCUGGUAAAAAAUUCUGAAUCCGAAACAAAAGAAGGUAUAGGCUAAGGCAAAAACCUAGAGGACAAAGAAACAUAGUUUAUAAAAACGAUAGAAAAACUAGAAAGACUAAUAAAAGGCCAAAAAAUAAACAGACAAUUACGAAAAUCAAUCAGAACCAGGAAACUGAAAAAACGUAAAAGAAUGAAGUAAAUCAUUGCAUCUAAUCGUUCGUAAAAGUGGAAGUUUCGAUAUAUUUCCUUUAGUCCCGGCUAAAUCCAAACAAACUUUUACGAUAAAUACGUCAGAGAUAAAAUUACACGAUCAACGAUUCUAAAAAUUUCAAUUAUAACAUCGUCGUGUAAUUAUAUGUAUCUACUUUCGAGGUAUUUGCGGUGGAAUUCCUGUUUGUUUCCGAUAUAAUUAAAUAUAAAAAUUAUGAAGCCACCCAGAUUGAAAAAAAGAGAAGGUAAUAUAAAUAUAAUUAGAUAAAAGAAAGUUUAAAAUCGUUAAACUGCGUGAAUUAGUUACUUCUGCGCUAAACAUUUUUAUCGCAUUGGUAGCAGUCAUCUAUUCCGGGGUAUAUAUUACAUUUUAAUCGU